rnacentral:rRNA from 1 species
AGGGAAAGGCGAAAAGAACCCCGGCGAGGGGAGUGAAAAAGAACCUGAAACCGUGUACGUACAAGCAGUGGGAGCACCCUUUGGGUGUGACUGCGUACCUUUUGUAUAAUGGGUCAGCGACUUAUAUUCUGUAGCAAGGUUAACCGAAUAGGGGAGCCGGAGGGAAACCGAGUCUUAACCGGGCGUUAAGUUGCAGGGUAUAGACCCGAAACCCGGUGAUCUAGCCAUGGGCAGGUUGAAGGUUGGGUAACACUAAC